AGGUGCUCUUCACCACUCCUGCCCACCACGCCUGACCGUUCAUGCCCUGAGCGAGUCCGUAGUUGGGAUAGAGACGAGAGUGUUGACGCGGCGGCGGCCAGCAGCCCUCCACCCAGCUCAGCUCAAACCUAGCACACCUGAUCCAGCUUAUCAAUCCACUGGAGGCGGAUAACCUAGCUGGAUAACGUGUGGCGGAUUUCUGUCGGAACUAAA